UGGGGAAUAUUGCACAAUGGGCGCAAGCCUGAUGCAGCCAUGCCGCGUGUGUGAAGAAGGCCUUCGGGUUGUAAAGCACUUUCAGCGGGGAGGAAGGCGGUGAGGUUAAUAACCUCAUCGAUUGACGUUACCCGCAGAAGAAGCACCGGCUAACUCCGUGCCAGCAGCCGCGGUAAUACGGAGGGUGCAAGCGUUAAUCGGAAUUACUGGGCGUAAAGCGCACGCAGGCGGUCUGUCAAGUCGGAUGUGAAAUCCCCGGGCUCAACCUGGGAACUGCAUUCGAAACUGGGAGACUUGAGUGCAGAAGAGGAGAGUGGAAUUCCAUGUGUAGCGGUGAAAUGCGUAGAUAUAUGGAGGAACACCAGUGGCGAAGGCGGCUCUCUGGUCUGUAACUGACGCUGAGGCUCGAAAGCGUGGGGAGCAAACAGG
rnacentral:rRNA from 1 species